CCUGCCCCUGGAGGCAUUUUAGGUGUGGCUGCUAUGUCAUUCGUGGGUCAGUAAAGGCCAGAGGCGAGAGAAAGUAUGUCUUUGCUCAGUGUCCUGACCUUUGAACAGCUCAGUGACCAGUAGCCUAACCUU
ensembl:snoRNA